rnacentral:lncRNA from 1 species
CUAGUUAUAGGACUUUAGGAGCAUCAUAUGAUAGAGGCCGGGUACUAUAUAUAUACAUACCAUUCUCUCGAAGGCCAAACUCCCCGAUUCCUUAAAACAUGUUCUUAUAUAUUAGGCUGCUCCAUGACAUGAUAGGUCGAGGAUACGAUUGUAAACCUGGAAUAGCAUCCUUGUUGCAUAUAAACGAUACGAAAAUAGUGCCCUGCUCAACAAUAACAGUACCACCUCCUGUAAACCUUCGGAUGACUGGGCUACAGAGAUUUGAAGAAUCCAAGAAUGGCUUAAAUGAAACAACUUUGUUAGGGGAUGAAUGGAAAAUGUUUUAAAGUAUAACCCCACCUGUCGAUAUUCAGGAACUCGUGUUGGCAUUUUCAGAUAACCCAUGUUACCGACCUCAUAAUCCCAUAAAAAGGAAGUAUGGUGAACCCACCUAUUUUUGGUAAUAGACUGAGCAUUUCCACCAAACUUGCGGUUGCCAAGCACGUAAUCUGUUAAAAAUGAGCAGUGCAAGGAGCAUAUCAAAUUCAUAUCCAACUUAAUGCUGCUGAGAGAUAUAUACAAACUGAGCAUAUUCAUAUUUUCUUCAUUUUAUAGAAUUUGAUACAUUGAUGUAAUUGGAACUGAAUCAAUCUACCUAGUGCCUUCUCACUCAAGACAAUUACCAUCUAGUUAUAGGACUGCAGGGACCAUCAUAUGAUAGAGGCCGGGUACUAUAUAUACGUACCAUUCUCUCGAAGGCCAAACUCCCCGAUUCCUUGAAACAUGUUCUUAUAUAUUAGGCUGCUCCAUGACAUGAUAGGUCGAGGAUACGAUUGUAAACCUGGAAUAGCAUCCUUGUUGCAUAUAAACGAUACGAAAAUAGUGCCCUGAUCAACAAUAACAGUACCACCUCCUGUAAACCUUCGGAUGACUGGAAUUUCAUCUCUUAGAACAGCAUCAGUUUCAAG